CGCCGUCGCUACUACCGAUUGAAUGGCUCAGUGAGGCGUCCGGACUGGCCCAGAGAGGUGGGCAACUACCACUCAGGGCCGGAAAGCUCUCCAAACUCGGUCAUUUAGAGGAAGUAAAAGUCGUAACAAGGUCUCCGUUGGUGAACCAGCGGAGGGAUCAUUA
rnacentral:rRNA from 1 species